UACGUAGGGGGCAAGCGUUGUCCGGAAUUAUUGGGCGUAAAGCGCGCGCAGGCGGUCUGGAAAGUCUAUGGGUGAAAUGCCGGGGCUCAACCCCGCGCAUGCCCAGGAUACUGUCAGACUGGAGACACGUAGAGGCAAGCGGAAUUCCGUGGUGUAGCGGUGGAAUGCGCAGAUAUCAGGAGGAACACCGAUGGCGAAGGCAGAUCUCUGGGCCGUAACUGACGCUGAGGAGCGAAAGCAUGGGGAGCGAACAGG
rnacentral:rRNA from 1 species